rnacentral:rRNA from 1 species
ACCUUGAAAUACCACCCUUUAAUGUUUGAUGUUCUAACGUUGGCCCCUUACCGGGGUUGCGGACAGUGUCUGGUGGGUAGUUUGACUGGGGCGGUCUCCUCCCAAAGCGUAACGGAGGAGCACGAAGGUUAGCUAAUCCUGGUCGGACAUCAGGAGGUUAGUGCAAUGGCAUAAGCUAGCUUGACUGCGAGCGUGACGGCGCGAGCAGGUGCGAAAGCAGGUCAUAGUGAUCCGGUGGUUCUGAAUGGAAGGGCCAUCGCUCAACGGAUAAAAGGUACUCCGGGGAUAACAGGCUGAUACCGCCCAAGAGUUCAUAUCGACGGCGGUGUUUGGCACCUCGAUGUCGGCUCAUCACAUCCUGGGGCUGAAGUAGGUCCCAAGGGUAUGGCUGUUCGCCAUUUAAAGUGGUACGCGAGCUGGGUUUAGAACGUCGUGAGACAGUUCGGUCCCUAUCUGCCGUGGGCGCUGGAGAAUUGAGGGGGGCUGCUCCUAGUACGAGAGGACCGGAGUGGACGCAUCACUGGUGUUCGGGUUGUCAUGCCAAUGGCACUGCCCGGUAGCUAAAUGCGGAAGAGAUAAGUGCUGAAAGCAUCUAAGCACGAAACUUGCCCCGAGAUGAGUUCUCCCUGAGACUUUAAGUCUCCUGAAGGAACGUUAAAGACGAUGACGUUGAUAGGCCGGGUGUGUAAGCGCAGCGAUGCGUUGAGCUAACCGGUACUAAUGAACCGUGAGGCUUAACCUU